rnacentral:rRNA from 1 species
GACGAACGCUGGCGGCGUGCCUAAUACAUGCAAGUAGAACGCUGAAGGAGGAGCUUGCUUCUCUGGAUGAGUUGCGAACGGGUGAGUAACGCGUAGGUAACCUGCCUGGUAGCGGGGGAUAACUAUUGGAAACGAUAGCUAAUACCGCAUAAUAUUGACUAUUGCAUGAUAGUCAGUUGAAAGGUGCAACUGCACCACUACCAGAUGGACCUGCGUUGUAUUAGCUAGUUGGUGGGGUAACGGCUCACCAAGGCGACGAUACAUAGCCGACCUGAGAGGGUGAUCGGCCACACUGGGACGGAGACACGGCCCAGACUCCUACGGGAGGCAGCAGUAGGGAAUCUUCGGCAAUGGACGGAAGUCUGACCGAGCAACGCCGCGUGAGUGAAGAAGGUUUUCGGAUCGUAAAGCUCGGUUGUAAGAGAAGAACGAGUGUGAGAGUGGAAAGCUCUCACUGUGACGGUAUCUUACCAGAAAGGGACGGCUAACUACGUG